rnacentral:rRNA from 1 species
AUGCCACGCGCCGCGCCCGGGCUAGGGUUCCCCGCCGCAGCCACCGACCCGGCGCCCGAGCGCCGCCACCCUCCGUCCUCCCGGCGGAAGAAGCCGCCGCCGCCACCCGCGCCGCCGGUGGGGCCACGCGGUGCAGCCGAUCCAGAUCCGGGCCUCCUCCACCACCUCCACCCCCGCGGCGGCAGCCACGCCUCGCGCGCCACUGCUCCCAGAGACGAGGACGACGGCGACGACGAGGAGGGGGGCUACGACGCGGCCGCCGGCGACUCCUUCUCCCGCUCGCUGAAAGAGUGCCAGAAGCAGCUGCAGCGCAGGGCGGAGGCGCGGCCGGCGGCGGCCUCACAUGAGCUCGGCAACGGCGACGCGUUUGGGGGGAUCGAGCUGCUCGUGCUCUCGCCGAGGUGCUUGCUCGGUGCUGCCGUGGGAGGGAUGAGCAAGAGCUCGACGGCGUCGUCCAGAAGCAGAUCAGGCACGUUUCCGAGCCCCGGGACGCCAAGCUACAACCGGCAUUGCGCUGGCAACAUGCAGUACCCGAAGGGCUGGAGCUCGGAGCGGGUGCCGCUGGGGGCAGGCGCCAACAGGAGGUAUGGGGGCAGCGGGGUCGUGCUCCCUUUCAACAAUGGGAGGAAGCUGCCGUCGAAAUGGGAGGAUGCCGAGAAGUGGAUCCUGAGCCCGGUUUCCUGUGAUGGGAUGGGGAGGAUGUCGGCGCCGGCGCCGCAUCAUAGACGGCCAAAGUCCAAGAGUGGGCCACUUGGUCACCCUGCUGGUGUUCCGGGAGCUUAUGCAUCUGUUUCGCCGAUGAUUCCCUGCUUCGAUGGUGUUCUGGCGGCCGCUAAUUUUGCGGCUCAUUCGCCUUUCUCUGCUGGGGUUCUCAUGCCAGGGCAUGCGCGCAACGGUGACUUCAGCAGCGGAAGAGCCAGGAGUGGUGAUGAUGGAAGCAGUAGGUCGUAUUCGGCUGAGAAGGAACCGUAUAUAUGGAGAUCAGCAAGCACACAUGCGUGGACAGAAACACUUAUGGAGGCAUCUGCCUUUGCUCAUAUCUCAGAGGAAGCUGCACAAGAUGAUGUCUUACGAGGCCAACAAGGAGCAACCCCUGCGAUUUCCAGUCCAGUCAUAAAGAAAGAUGUUGCCACACAAAUGAGUCCUGAUGACAGUAUAAUAUCGUCCUCCCCAAAAGCGAGGCAUUCCUGCUCCAGCUUGCCGUCAGGGGAUACUAUUAGAGAAUCAAAUAGUCAUACACCUAAGGUUGAAGUUAGGGAUGUGCAGGUAGAUGAUCAAGUAACUGUUACCCGGUGGUCCAAGCGACAUGUAACACGAGGCUCUGAUAAGCGAUCAACAAAUAUUGUUGAAUGGAGGAAGAAGACUACAGAGGCCCGGGCUCCAUCUUUUGAUGAAAAAGAAAGAGAAAGAUGCAUAUCAAAGUGCAAGAGAGAGGAAGCAAAGAUCACUGCUUGGGAAAAUCUGCAGAAAGCAAAAGCAGAGGCAGCAAUCCGGAAGUUGGAGAUGAAGCUUGAAAAGAAGAGGUCAUCAUCGAUGGACAGAAUUUUGGGCAAACUACGUUCUGCUCAAAAGAAAGCACAAGGCAUGCGCACUACAGUUUCUGUCAGCGAGGAUCAGUGUGCUGUCAGUGAAGAUCAGUGUGCUGUGAGGGCAACCAAGAAGGCAUCCUUGAGAAGGACUGGCAAGCCUUUCAGCUGCUGUUUCACCUACCAUGCUUGCUAG